UACGUAGGGUGCAAGCGUUGUCCGGAAUUAUUGGGCGUAAAGAGCUCGUAGGCGGUUUGUCGCGUCUGCUGUGAAAUCUGGGGGGCUCAACCCCCAGCCUGCAGUGGGUACGGGCAGACUAGAGUGCGGUAGGGGGAGAUUGGAAUUCCUGGUGUAGCGGUGGAAUGCGCAGAUAUCAGGAGGAACACCGAUGGCGAAGGCAGAUCUCUGGGGCCGUAACUGACGCUGAGGUGCGAGAG
rnacentral:rRNA from 1 species